rnacentral:rRNA from 1 species
UACGUAGGGUGCAGGCGUUAUUCGGAAUUACUGGGCGUAAAGCGCACGCAGGUGGCUGAGUCAGUCGAUUGUGAAAGCCCUGGGCUUAACCUGGGAAUUGCAGUCGAUACUACUCGGCUCGAGUAUGGGAGAGGGCAGUGGAAUUCCCGGUGUAGCGGUGAAAUACGUAGAGAUUGGGAAGAACACCAGUGGCGAAGGCGGCUAUCUGGACGGUUUCUGACACUAAGACGCGAAAGCGUGGGGAGCAAACAGG